AGAGUUUGAUCAUGGCUCAGAACGAACGCUGGCGGCAUGCCUAACACAUGCAAGUCGAACGAACUCUUCGGAGUUAGUGGCGCACGGGUGCGUAACGCGUGGGAAUCUGCCCUUGGGUACGGAAUAACUCAGAGAAAUUUGUGCUAAUACCGUAUAAUGACUUCGGUCCAAAGAUUUAUCGCCCAAGGAUGAGCCCGCGUAAGAUUAGCUAGUUGGUGGGGUAAAAGCCUACCAAGGCGACGAUCUUUAGCUGGUCUGAGAGGAUGAUCAGCCACACUGGGACUGAGACACGGCCCAGACUCCUACGGGAGGCAGCAGUGGGAAUAUUGGACAAUGGGCGAAAGCCUGAUCCAGCAAUGCCGCGUGAGUGAUGAAGGCCUUAGGGUUGUAAAGCUCUUUUACCAGGGAAGAUGAUGACUGUACCUGGAGAAUAAGCCCCGGCUAACUCCGUG
rnacentral:rRNA from 1 species